UACGAAGGAUCCAAGCGUUAUCCGGAUUCACUGGGUUUAAAGGGUGCGUAGGAGGACUGGUAAGUCAGUGGUGAAAUCCCCGAGCUUAACUUGGGAACUGCCGUUGAUACUAUCAGUCUUGAAUACCGUGGAGGUGAGCGGAAUAUGUCAUGUAGCGGUGAAAUGCUUAGAUAUGACAUAGAACACCAAUUGCGAAGGCAGCUCGCUACACGAAUAUUGACUCUGAGGCACGAAAGCGUGGGGAUCAAACAGG
rnacentral:rRNA from 1 species